UUUCAUCAUCCUUGUGUUCAUUGAGGUGUCAAACUCUGCAGUUGUUGAGAGCUUCACCUUCCAGCUCACUGAAGUCUCCCUGAUGCUUGCACAGUCCAGCUGUAGGAAAUUCUCCAGAGCCAGGUGCUUUGCAGUGGCAAACACUUUUUAACUUCAAAGAAGUCAGGGAGAAGCUGAGAGGACAAGGCCACUCCUGCACAGAAACCAACAAAGACAGAGCUCAGAAUAUUUAUGCAGUGGCUCUGGCAAAGCAGACCUACAGAAUUGAAGCAAACAGGAUGAAGUCCAGCUGCCCAAGCAUCAGUCCAGAGCUAUCUGAGAUGUUUAAGGGUGUCCAAGACAUCUGGUUCAGGCUGGCAUAUAUGACAUAAUACUUAUUAAAGACUAAUUUUUU